rnacentral:rRNA from 1 species
UACGUAGGUGGCGAGCGUUGUCCGGAUUUACUGGGCGUAAAGGGAGCGUAGGCGGACUUUUAAGUGAGAUGUGAAAUACUCGGGCUCAACUUGAGUGCUGCAUUUCAAACUGGAAGUCUAGAGUGCAGGAGAGGAGAAUGGAACUCCUAGUGUAGCGGUGAAAUGCGUAGAGAUUAGGAAGAACACCAGUGGCGAAGGCGAUUCUCUGGACUGUAACUGACGCUGAGGCUCGAAAGCGUGGGGAGCAAACAGG